GACGAACGCUGGCGGCGUGCUUAACACAUGCAAGUCGAACGAUGACGACCGAGCUUGCUCGGUCUGAUUAGUGGCGAACGGGUGAGUAACACGUGAGCAACCUGCCCUUCACUCUGGGAUAACCUCGGGAAAUCGGGGCUAAUACCGGAUAUGAGCUCCUGUCGCAUGGCGGGUGUUGGAAAGUUUUUCGGUGAAGGAUGGGCUCGCGGCCUAUCAGUUUGUUGGUGAGGUAGUGGCUCACCAAGGCGAUGACGGGUAGCCGGCCUGAGAGGGCGACCGGCCACACUGGGACUGAGACACGGCCCAGACUCCUACGGGAGGCAGCAGUGGGGAAUAUUGCACAAUGGGCGAAAGCCUGAUGCAGCGACGCCGCGUGAGGGAUGACGGCCUUCGGGUUGUAAACCUCUUUCAGCAGGGAAGAAGCGAAAGUGACGGUACCUGCAGAAGAAGCGCCGGCUAACUACG
rnacentral:rRNA from 1 species